rnacentral:rRNA from 1 species
UACAGAGGGGGCAAGCGUUGUUCGGAAUUACUGGGCGUAAAGAGCGCGCAGGCGGUCGUUCAAGUCGAGUGUGAAAGCCCCCGGCUCAACUGGGGAGGGUCAUUCGAUACUGAUCGACUCGAAGGCAGGAGAGGGAAGUGGAAUUCCCGGUGUAGUGGUGAAAUGCGUAGAUAUCGGGAGGAACACCAGUGGCGAAGGCGACUACCUGGCCUGUUCUUGACGCUGAGGCGCGAAAGCUAGGGGAGCAAACGGG